GGGUGCGGUCAGGUAGAUACCAUGGCUGAAGCUAGGGGAGUACACAUCUGAUGUGAAUCGAAGUAGAGGAGAUGUCAGUGAUGCCUGGGAGGAGCAAGAUCAGAUGGCUCUCCUGUCUUCUGCUUCUGGGCUCUCAGCUUUUGUGAAACCUUCCACCUCUGCUCCGCUGCAGCCAUUAAGUGGGCCUCCUCAUCACCUACCCUUUCUCUCUCUCUUGUAGAAAGGACUUGGAUCCCUUUCUAGUUGACUAUCAACACAAGGAAAUCCAGGUCUAAAGAAGAAGCCAGAGAAGGAGCAGGGCAGUGGAAGACAGAGAGGUGAGGAAAGGCCAGCACCUGACAUCAUGACAUUGUGCUUCUAAGAGUUCCAGCUAGUUCACAUACAUGGCACAGCCAUGGCUGCUGUGGCAUCGAAUUCGUCGUGUUGCAAUUUUACAUGGAAUCAACUUCAAGACAAAGAGGUGGAAACUGCGCUAUUUAAAGGAGGCUGGGAACACCCAGAAAAGCUCAGUUUCAGUAGAAUCCAGCACGCCG
ensembl:lncRNA